AAUAAAUAACUAAAAUUAAUUAAAUUACAUUACAGCUAAGGACAAUCUAUCUACAAUUACUACAAAUAAGGACUACAAAACUACAGAGAUAUAUACAAGCAGGAGGACAACUACAACAAAGCACCGGCCAGCAUGGCAAACGCAAUGCAGAACAUUGCGCCGCAUACCGGCCGGCUCCGUUGUCCCCCUGUGCAGAAUUAGUGGCACCAUCUGACAUCUUUAGUGGCGAUGGCUGGACUUGGAGAUGGCGUGCAUCGUGGGCCAUGAUGGUGUUGUUGGCGAGCGGCUCUGUUCCGGCCGCCCACGUUGCAUCUGUCGCUGGUUUGUGUUGGCUGCUGCACUCGAGUGGCACUGGUCCGGCCACCUCAUUGUCAAUUUUUUGUCUAGUAUGACGCCUAGGCAACUAAUCUAACUAAAACUAUGGACAACUACGGACAUGCAAAAACUACAGAAACAACAGGAUUGACAUCUACAACAAAUACAUUGAUGCAGACAAGGAGGACAAACAACAACGGAGCACCGGCAGGCAUAACAGACGCAAUGCGAACAUUACGCUGUAUACUGGCCGGCUCUGUUGUCCCCCUGUGUGUUGUUUAUUGGCGAUGGCUGGAUUGGUGGUGUUGGCGUGCAUCGUGGGCAAAGUUGGAGAUGGCGAGCGGCUCUAGUCCGGCCGCCCACGUUGCAUCUGUCAGGUGAGAUGGCGCAUCCAAUCGAGUGGCACUGGUCCGGCCACCCGAGAUGCAUUGUCCAGUGCGUUGGCAUUGGCAUCGAUAUGUGAUGCCAACGAAUCAUGUUAUUGGCCGCAUCCAAGUGGCUGCUGGUCCGGCCACCAGGAUGCGCUGUCGAUUUUAAUUGUUGGCCGCAUCCGAGUGGCUGCUGGUCCGGCCACCAGGAUGCGCUGUCAGGUGGAUUGGCCUGGCCUCCUCGGCCACGUUCGUCGUCAGUUUUUAAUGGCGUUUUGGAUGGCUGCUGGUCCGGCCAUCCAGAUGAGGUGUUUGUUUUUUGGCUUUGGUUUUUACUAUG
rnacentral:sRNA from 1 species